GGAGGUUCUCGGAUAACACACCCGAGAAUCAGGCUCCCUCCUCUAUGGUUCCGGGUGCAUCAACCGAGAACUGCA
rfam:Myotis brandtii contig293827, whole genome shotgun sequence.